UUUUUAAAUAAUCGAAUGCGUCGUUUUACAACCUCUGGUUUGAAGUAGAUGCAACAAAUUUUAGCGAAACAUUUACAACAUUCAAUGUGAUGAGACUUUUUGUUUCGCUGAGAGCAACAACAAAUAAUACUAAGAAUACAUUGCAGUACUAUGAUCAGAAUGGAUGGUAAAUUCCAAUAAUAAUAAAUUAGUAUGGCUAUUAAAGGAAGCAUGCAAAUUUUAAAACCUAAAAUAAAAAAAAAAACCGAAAUAAAUAAUAAAACGAUUGGAAACAUACUACCACCCCAUGUUUCCAAACAACUUCAAAUAAAAGUUGGCUAAGCCUUAACUCCUGAUCGCCUCAUCGUAGUCGGGAGGUGGACCAGUAUAUUGGAGAUUACCCUUCUCAUUAAAUGUUGUGUUAUCGUCGAAAAUAUCCACCUUUCCACGCGCAUCCUCAAUUGCAUAGGUCGACAAUCCAAGAGGAUCUUUUGGAAUCCAAACUGAUGGUGGUGUAGCUUUCAAAGCAGGACUCACAUAUUGUACAUUACGUACACGCACAGGAAUAUCGUAAAAUGAAGGAAGUAAUUGUAAAACACGAUCGAAUCCAGUCAGGAUCCUAUUAGAAGCAGCAAGGUCAGAAAAAUAACUUAAAACGAAACUAGGCAUUUUAUGUACAGAUGAGAUAUUCGUAAUAGCAAAGCCCUCGUCGUCCUUAUCUAUUUUUUCUUUGGUAUUUUCCGAAGUUCUGCUACUUGUUUCUAAGAAUUCAUCACUUCCAGAAGAUGAUGACAAUUUUUCCAGAAUUUCGGGAUAAGCACGACCCACGUUCUUCAUUUCAGACGUACCCAGGUCCAUUGGAUAUUUAAUUUCAGGUCGCUCGGAAACACUUUCGAUAGCACUAAUUGGAACAGCAUCCAUCAAAGGUAAAAAUUUGUAUUUGAAAUAAAGAUGGCAUGCCACCGUAAAACCCAAAAAUACGGCUUCGAGUACGGUAGCGCCCCAAUUCUUAGCCAAAACAAAUAAGCCAAUUAAGCAGACUUCUGCUAAGUAAAGACCGACAAAUACUUGGAAAAGAGCUCUAGGAUAAUUUCUGCCCUUUGCGUCAGCGUUAUGCCCUAAGACAUAAAUUAAAUUAUAGGAAUAUGCAAAAUAAAUUAAAACAAAUGCUACAGCGGCAAAUCCAAUUAUAAUAGGAGCAAUGAUCGAGUAGCAAAUCAUGAUAGUCACCAACAAAGAAUAGACCGGAUAAACCGUACCCCAGCUAGGUGCGGAAAGUUGAUUCCAGCGAUUCCACUUCUUUCGAGGUGUAUUAUCGAAUAUGCGCCCUAAAACUUUCGACAAAAGUAAUGUUACUAUUUGCAAUAAAGCUCCUCCAGGAAUUGAAAGUCCUUGCAAAAGGAAAUAUGAAAUGUAAAAGUUAGACGCCUUUGGAAGAUUACUGGCAAGUAGUGUCAUGGAAGAUGCUGGUUCUUUAAUAACUUGUACAACGGCAGACGUAGCAGCCGAUGUCAUUGUAGUUACCAAAAAGACUUGAACGACCUGAAAUGCGUAAUACCAGUUUUGACAAUAAUUUUCAAUCUCUUGAACGGUAAGAGCGCCGCCAAACUUUCCUAAAAACUUGAUAAACGGUGGAACAAGCGACAUCAAAAUGGAGAGAGCAACAGAGGGGAGAAUUCCUGUAAUGAUACCAAGCAAUUUUGGAGGCAUAUGGUCGAUAAAUUUCAAGAAAUGAACCUUUUCAAUAAGAUAGUUAACGUUGGAUAUACAACCGACUACUGCAACUGGAAAUGCCCAGAAAAUAAUCAUAAGAGUAAGAAUAGUAUUUGAAAUAGUCUUUUUGCCUCUUCUGGUGUACAUAGAAAGGUCAAGAUUGGACCAAACGAUAUCUUCUGGAGCAAUGCCGACCAAAGCACGACCGAAACGGUAUUUUCUAAACUUUUUUGAGUAAAGGAAGGCCUGAUAAGCAGUUUGCAAGUCCGUUUGACUACGGAAUCUGAUAAACACAGAACCAACUUUUUUGCGCUCCUCGAGUGAAGUUUGUAAUUUAUCGACAACCUCAUCCAAUUCAGCGAUCGUGUCUCUACAGUAGUCAAUAGUAUCAACCUUUUUUCCAAUCAAGAAUUUAAGGCGAUGAGUUGGACGCUUCUUCACGUAAGCGGUAUAAUCCAAGGUUGAAGGAAGUGGCUUAUGCUUUUUGACAAGCUUAUUAUGUUUUUUAACAGACUUAUUAAUAAGGCUGUUAAGAGUACUCUCAUACUUGUUUCCAAGGUCACUGCGUUUCUUGACCUUUUUUUCCAGCUUCUUGAGAUCACGGACGCAUGUAAACUCAGAAGCGUUUGGAAAAAGCUCAUGAAGAGUUUCCUCAUCGUUUAAAACUGAGUUUGGAAGCUCAGUCAGCAACAUCGUAGAGGAAGAAGGAAGAUUGUUAUAAAGACCUGAAGAUUGCAUGGCAUGUCGAAAAAUAACAUAAUAGCGAAGCUCACGAUAUAUUAUGAAAAUGGUGAAACCGAAAAACAACCAAGAGAGAAAAACAUGGGCAUAAAAUCGAUUAUGAUUUUUGACGUUUGAGAAUGAAAGAAUAUCAAAUCCCUUUUCACCCACACCGUUUGUUGCGUUUACAGGAAGGAGGAUGGGGAAAAGAACUAAACAGCCUAGGAUACAAAGGGCACCAAAUGUGAAGAGAUAGCGAAUAAAAAAAUAACCAUCCACACCAGCGUAUUGGAUAAGAUAUGUCUCAGAGCGUUUCACAACGUAAGCAAACAAACCAAAAGGGCUAGAGGGGGAAGGCUCUGGUUUCUCUUCUUUUGGUUGAGUAUCUAUAAUACAUCUAGGUUGGUAAACGUGUUUCUCGCGAGGACGCAAACAUAAAAAAAGACCGAUGAAGGCGCAAAAGAUAGCAAAAUUGAAGACUAACGAUGAUACGAACGCCGACGUAGAAGAACUGCUGCUGUCGGACAUACUGUCAAAAGAGUGUUGCGCUUGACACGAUCAGCAGAUGGAGAAAGAAAAAUGAGAGAAUGGUGCGAUGUUGAGUUGGGUAGAUUUGUGAAAGAUACACACAACACCGGAAGUUUUAAAAGAAUGAUCCAAACCCCCAGUAGAAAACCUUCUUUGUUGUUUAAUAAAGCAAUUAAAACAAUGAAAAGAAAAAAUCCUAAUGACUUAGAAGGUAGUGGGCGAAAGAAAAUUAUGCAAGUGAUGGUGCAUGGACUUUUAAUAGUAAAUGCUCAUCUCCAAUUAAAAAGCCUUGAGGUUCUGUUUACAUUGGCGAUAUUGCGCUGGCAAAUGCAAAGCCAGAAUUAGAUAUUACCAGCAUUUUUCACCUAUUCUCCCUUAACACUGUCCAAUCUCGUGAAUUUGCGUCUCGCAAUUUCAGAUGUAAACAAAUAUUGAAACUGCGACGCAUACAUGUCACUUUGCUAUUGUAAAACAGGCAGAUCCCACACCCAGGUAAAAUAAGAACCGAAGCAAAAUUAUGAUAACGUUAAAAGGAUUCAUUUAGGAAAGGAUAAACAUAGUUAGUCACUAGCAAAAGAGAGAAAAACGAAAUCAUCCUUCUUUCGCACAAUAACGAACUCAUGCAAUUCUUGCUGGUUGUUAAGGACAUAGUGAAGUACAAGUGUUAGUGAUAUAAUUCAAAUUGAGAUAAUAAUUUCAUAAAACACGGACUUUCACUUAUGUGACAAUCAUUCGCUAACUCGGUUUCAUGUCACACAAAAAGCCACCAUCGACUUAGUCGGGAGUGUAAUAUUUACACAUUGGAACAUGUUAAACGACAUCGUUAAGCAACAGCGAGUGUCUUUACCGGACUUUUCACCAAAAAAAUUUCGCUGCCCUAUCUUGUACGCACGCAGAAUAAAGCAUUUCCAGCCAGUUAUUGAACGCGCUAAAGUGUUGUAAAGGUCAAUCUCGGAUUUCAUAAAUUUCACCAAUAAAGAAAAACCAAAUUGCACAUCAUGUCAACGAAAAUGACAGCUGGCUUUACACAGCCUCAUAUACUUAGUAGGUAAUAAUGAUAUGAGAGAGCAUGGUGUAAGUAAAAAAAAAAA